GGCCGGAAUCCAUUCGGUUGGUUUCCACUCAAGCAGAAGAGCCAAUUUAGCCCUCAAGCUUGCUCCAGAAAGCCCAGCUUCCGGCAAAGGCGAAUAGUUACCGGAGGACUGAGUCAGUGUCGGCCAGAUCUGAGUUGUUACUACUCACCGGAAAGCCAAGAAAUCCUUAUCUUCCUUCAACCCUUCACUCCCUUUAUCUCUGUAAGGGGAGAAUUGAAAGGAAAAACCAAACAAAAAGAUGGUGGGUUUUAUAUAUUUGCAGAGCUCUUUGAUCAGGAUGAUAAUGGGGGAUGUGGAGUAAGAUAGAAGCAACCACGGAAGGGCCAAAUUGAAAAUAGGGUAUAACUAACUACCACGGCGCGUUAAGUGUCGGGUUUGGGAACAAACACGUGAGCUAACGAAAACCGAGAGGAUGACGGUGGGGGAUUUAACGCUCACCUGAUGCAUACGGCAAGCAAACAAACUAACUGCAUUAGCAAACGGUGCGAUUCCGUCAGUCAAUGCCUCCGUUAGUCUUGACCCCAAGGGAAUCUUCAAAGCUUUCCAUCUUUUGGCCUUUUAUUAUUCAUAUUGGUUUUGAAGAUUUGAUAACUUGACCCUACAGAUCACCGGAAACUAUGUGCUGCUUUGGUUCAAGGUUGACACGUAAUUUAAGAACAAAAGACACUGCACUGGCCGCCUUUAUUGUUUGAACCUGCCAUUGGCCAGACCCCUCUUGUCUCAUCCCAGAAAAUUCAAAUUUUUGUACACAAUCCCAAAAUUUUAAAUUAAAUUAACAAAU